rnacentral:rRNA from 1 species
UCCGCUUGAUCCUGGCGGACCCAACUGCUAUCGGGGUGAGAUUAAGCCAUGCGAGUUGUGCGUUUCUUGGCUAUGUUAGAGACGCAGCACACGGCUCAGUAACAUGUGGUUAACCUACCCUCAGGACAGUAACAACCCCGGGAAACUGGGGCUAAUUUCUGAUAGAUGAGGAAGUCUGGAAUGACUCUUCGUUCAAAGGGUAUUGAUGACAUGCCUUUCAGUAUUGCCUGAGGAUGGGACCGCACCCGAUCAGGUUGUUGGUGAGGUAACGGCUCACCAAGCCUAUAACCGGUACGGGCCUUGAGAGAGGGAGCCCGGAGAUGGGCACUGAGACAAGGGCCCAGGUCCUACGGGGCGCAGCAGGCGCGAAACCUCCGCAAUGCACGAAAGUGUGACGGGGUCACCCCGAGUGCCAUCCGCUGAGGGUGGCUUUUGUUCGGUGUAAUGAGCCGAAUGAAUAAGGGGAGGGCAAGUCUGGUGUCAGCCGCCGCGGUAAUACCAGCUCCUCGAGUUGUUGGGACGAUUAUUGGGUCUAAAGCGUCCGUAGCCGGCCGGAAAAGUUCACCGUUAAAUCCGACGAUUCAAUCGUCGGGCUGCGGAGAAUACUCUUCGGCUUGGGGGCGGGGGAUGUCGGCGGUAGUCCCGGGGUAGGGGCGAAAUCUUAUAAUCCCGGGAGGACCACCAGUGGCGAAGGCGGCCGACUAAAACGCGCCCGACGGUGAGGGACGAAAGCUGGGGGAGCGAACGGGAUUAGAUACCCCGGUAGUCCCAGCUGUAAACAAUGCAGGCUAGGUGUCGGGAUGGCUACGGGCCAGCUCGGUGCCGCAGGGAAGCCAUUAAGCCUGCCACCUGGGAAGUACGGUCGCAAGGCUGAAACUUAAAGGAAUUGGCGGGGGAGCACCACAAGGGGUGAAGCUUGCGGUUUAAUUGGAGUCAACACCGGGAAUCUUACCAGGAGCGACAGCUGGAUGAAAGUCAGAUUGAAGGUCUUACUGGACUAGCUGAGAGGAGGCGCAUGGCCGUCGCCAGUUCGUGCCGUGAGGUGUUCUCUUAAGUGAGACAACGAACGAGACCCGCGUUUCUAGUUGCCAUCGGGUUCCUUCGGGAAUCCAGGCACACUAGGGAGACUGCUUCCGCUAAGGAGGAGGAAGGAACGGGCCACGGCAGGUCAGUAUGCCCCAGAUCUCCUGGGCCACACGCGAGCUGCAAUGGUUGAGACAAUGGGUUCCGACCCUGAGAAGGGAAGGUAAUCCCCAAACCCAACCUCAGUUGGGAUCGAGGGCUGUAACUCGCCCUCGUGAACAUGGAAUCCCUAGUAACCGCGUGUCAUCAUCGCGCGGUGAAUACGUCCCUGCUCCUUGCACACACCGCCCGUCGCUCCACCUGAGUUUGGUUCGGGUGAGGCUUAGUCUUGUUGGCUAUGUCGAACCUAAGUUAGACAAGGGGGGAGAAGUCGUAACAAGGUG